CACGAACCUGGCAGCCAAUCACCA
rnacentral:miRNA from 1 species